rnacentral:rRNA from 1 species
AUUGAACGCUGGCGGCAUGCCUUACACAUGCAAGUCGAACGGUAACAGGUUAAGCUGACGAGUGGCGAACGGGUGAGUAAUGUAUCGGAACGUGCCCAGUCGUGGGGGAUAACUGCUCGAAAGAGCAGCUAAUACCGCAUACGACCUGAGGGUGAAAGCGGGGGAUCGCAAGACCUCGCGCGAUUGGAGCGGCCGAUAUCAGAUUAGGUAGUUGGUGAGGUAAAGGCUCACCAAGCCGACGAUCUGUAGCUGGUCUGAGAGGACGACCAGCCACACUGGGACUGAGACACGGCCCAGACUCCUACGGGAGGCAGCAGUGGGGAAUUUUGGACAAUGGGCGCAAGCCUGAUCCAGCCAUGCCGCGUGCGGGAAGAAAGCCCUCGGGUUGUAAACCGCUUUUGUCAGGGAAGAAAAGGUUCUGGCUAAUACCUGGGACUCAUGACGGUACCUGAAGAAUAAGCACCGGCUAACUACGUGCCAGCCGCCGCAGUAACAC